rnacentral:rRNA from 1 species
GAUGAACGCUGGCGGCGUGCCUAAUACAUGCAAGUCGAGCGAACAGAUAAGGAUCUUGCUCCUUUGACGUUAGCGGCGGACGGGUGAGUCACACGUGUGUAACCUACCUAUAAGACUGGAAUAACUCCGGGAAACCGGGGCUAAUGCCGUAUAACAUCUAGAACCGCAUGGUUCUAAAGUGAAAGAUGGUUUUGCUAUCACUUAUAGAUGGACCCGCGCCGUAUUAGCUAGUUGGUAAGGUAACGGCUUACCAAGGCAACGAUACGUAGACGACGUGAGAGAGUGAUCGGCGACACUGGAACUGAGACACGGUCCAGACUACUACGGGAGGGAGCAGUAGGGAAUGUUCCGCAAUGGGCGAAAGCCUGACGGAGCAACGCCGAGUGAGUGAUGACGGUCUUCGGAUCGUAAAACUCUGUUAUGAGGGAAGAACAAAUGUGUAAGGAACUGUGCACGUAGUGACGGUACCGAAUAAGAAAGCAACGGCUAACUACGUG